CCUAGCCAUGGCGUGCCUGACCCUGGCUGAUCCCAUUCCCUGUGGCACGGUGUCACCCUGUGGAGGGGGUUACGGGGGGGGAGGGUUCAGAGGCGGUGGGAGGGGAGGAGGAGGCCUUAACCUCAAGCUUUCUGGAGCGCUGAGCAUCAGGAAAGGAGGAGGAGGAGGAGGAGGAGGAUUCCGAAGAGGAGGAGGAGGAGGAGGUUUCAGGAGAGGCUUCGGAGGAGGAGGUUUCAAGAAGGGCUUCGGAGGAGGAGGAGGAGGACGAGCGAGGCCAGUCUACGUUCAACCCGUCAUCAUCAGCAAGGGAGGAGGAGGAGGCUACUACGGCGGCGGCGGCGGACACUGCUGCGGCUGAGGACCUGAGGAAGGCGCUGCUGGGGAAGGAGAUCCUCGCAGUCGCCGACUCGCUCGCAACGGGAUAAGUGGGCGUGUGUAAUGCGAGCAAUAAAGAGUCAUUCUCA